UUCAGUUACUCUUCGUCUUAUUUGAAAUAUUUUUGCGAUUAAUAUUUUUUUACUACAUGAUAAAAUAUAAAUAGUACUUUAUGCGUGACUAAUUAUUUUAGUUUUUGUUCAAAAUUUUUAAAUAAGGCGAAUGGUCAAACAUUGGAUACGGAAA
rnacentral:pre_miRNA from 1 species